GAUGAACGCUAGCGGCAGGCUUAACACAUGCAAGUCGAGGGGUAUAGUUCUUCGGAAUUAGAGACCGGCGCACGGGUGCGUAACGCGUAUGCAAUCUACCUUUCACAGAGGGAUAGCCCCAGAGAAAUUUGGAUUAAUACCUCAUAGUAUAGCAGUUUCGCAUGAAACCACUAUUAAAGUCACAACGGUGAAAGAUGAGCAUGCGUCCCAUUAGCUAGUUGGUAAGGUAACGGCUUACCAAGGCAACGAUGGGUAGGGGUCCUGAGAGGGAGAUCCCCCACACUGGUACUGAGACACGGACCAGACUCCUACGGGAGGCAGCAGUGAGGAAUAUUGGACAAUGGNGCAAGCCUGAUCCAGCCAUGCCGCGUGCAGGAUGACGGUCCUAUUGGAUUGUAAACUGCUUUUAUACAGGAAGAAACACUACUUCGUGAAGUAGUCUUGACGGUACUGUAA
rnacentral:rRNA from 1 species